rnacentral:rRNA from 1 species
CGGGAGGCUGCAGCAGUGAGGAAUAUUGCACAAUGGGGGGAACCCUGAUGCAGCAACGCCGCGUGGAGGAUGACGCAUUUCGGUGUGUAAACUCCUUUUAUAUGUCAAGAAAAUGACGGUAGCAUAUGAAUAAGCACCGGCUAACUCCGUGCCAGCAGCCGCGGUAAUACGGAGGGUGCAAGCGUUACUCGGAAUCACUGGGCGUAAAGGACGCGUAGGCGGGUUGGAAAGUCAGGCGUGAAAUCCUACAGCUUAACUGUAGAACUGCACUUGAAACUUCUAAUCUAGAGUAUGGGAGGGGGAGAUGGAAUUAGUGGUGUAGGGGUAAAAUCCGUAGAUAUCACUAGGAAUACCUAAAGCGAAGGCGAUCUCCUGGAACAUUACUGACGCUAAGGCGUGAAAGCGUGGGGAGCAAACAGGAUUAGAUACCCCCGUAGUC